GACGGGACCCGCACAAGCAGCGGAGCAUGUGGUUUAAUCGAAGCAACGCGAAGAACCUUACCAGAUCUUGACAUCCAAUUGACCAUCUUUUAAUCAAGAUUUUGCCUUCGGGUACAAUUGAGACAGGUGGUGCAUGGUUGUCGUCAGCUCGUGUCGUGAGAUGUUGGGUUAAGUCCCGCAACGAGCGCAACCCUUGUGUUUAGUUGCAAACAGGUCAAGCUGUGCACUCUAGACAGACUGCCGUGGACAACACGGAGGAAGGUGGGGAUGACGUCAAAUCAUCAUGCCCCUUAUGAUCUGGGCUACACACGUGCUACAAUGGCCGGUACAACGGGCAGCGAAGGAGCGAUCCGGAGCGAAUCCUAAAAAGCCGGUCCCAGUUCGGAUUGCAGGCUGAAACUCGCCUACAUGAAGUUGGAGUUGCUAGUAAUCGCGAAUCAGAAUGUCGCGGUGAAUGCGUUCCCAGGUCUU
rnacentral:rRNA from 1 species